UGUGCAGUAGUCUGAAUAUACGGUGAGCACAGAUGAGUGUCAGCAGAUCUUCUGUCAGAGUGAGAAGUGAUUGUGUGACUGAAGCAGCUUCUUCUCUCUUCUGCUGGAUUAUUGGGCUCUUCUGGACUCUAGAGAAAUGAAGCUCAUCUUUGGACUGAUGCUGCUGAAAACUGCUGCAUGUCUGGAGUUUAACUGUAGUUUUUAUCAGUCAGAUCUCUGUUUCGCAGCUCUGGGACACAAACUCAAUCUGCUGAUGGUGGACGCUAGUAGAUAUGAUCUGAAGAUACAAAAAAGAAUAAACCACAACUCAGAUGAUCCAGUUUGUAGAGUAAAGAAUGACAAGAUUAAAGAGAUUGAAUGUGACCUUUUUAAUAACAGAUCUGAAGUGUCAGUCAUUAAUGGGACUCUGAUAAUAAACUGUGUGAUCAGAGCAGAUUCAGGGACUUACAGGUUAUAUCUCGAAGACUCAGACGGCACAGAAACAUCUAGAGAUCUUCAAGUGAUUGUUGAAGAGAGGUCAGUGUCUGUGGUGUUUGUGCUGCUCUGGUGUUUUCAGCUGAUGUUUCUGUUGGGUCUGUUAGGAGGUUUUCACAUCUACAUGAGACACACGUCAGGAAAGAAACAGGAAGAUCAACAAGUGAGAAUGAGAAGAUUUAGAGAAGGACAUGAACACACAGCAGAAGAUUGAUGAGACCAGCAGCAGAUCUCAUCACAUCUAUGAGAAAUCACUUCAGAACGUCCAAGACUUUCACAUCCAUCCAACAUUAAUUUUACACAUCUGGAGUCAUUCGGUCUUUUACUUCAGUCUGUUGGCUUUGGUUGAUUUCAUUUACAGUGCCUGUUUAGAUGUUUAACUGUUCAAAACUGUUCCCAUAGAUUACUUUUGAGUGUUUUGACACAUUCCUGCAUUUUUCUUCACGAGAUAUUUGUCAUUAUAACAGAACCGCCCUGAGCGAGUUCACAGCGAGUUGUACAGUCCACCAUUGCUGCACUGACAAGAAUGACUCCCAAGCGUUUUAGAUGUUCUGUAGCUGGAUGGAUUAAUCCACAUAGCUCUCUCCAUUUACUGCCUAAAUCUGAGCCACUGAAGACGAGGUGGAUUCAUUUUGUUUUUGAAGAAAAUGCUCCCUGAACUCUACUGAAAUUCGUUUAUGUCUGCACGAAUCAUUUCACACCGGACUUUGUGAACGAAUGUCAAUACAAAGGGACAAUACAAAACAGAGGUUGUGCUAAAAAGUUGUUACUCAAGGAUAGAUCAGUAAACUGUUGGUGAUCCAGCUUACAGUCUCCAGAGUGAUACUGGAUACGGCAGUAAUGAAGGUGAGAGCACUUUAUUACAGUUCAUCGGAGUUGAUUUACGGAUAUAAAGUUUACCAGUUUAUUAAACACCACCCGAAAAGACAUAAGGUCUUUAUAUAUUUGUUUACUGUUAGUUGUAACGAGUGUUUCUGUGUAAUUCGCUGUGUAUGUUGAUGAUAAUGCAAGGGAGACAGAGAGAAAGUUUAUGGAUAAUAUUUUAAUGCACACUUGCACUGUGUUUUAUUAAGCUCUUACAGAGAUUUUCUAGAGUGAAAACGGAUGCUUCAUAUUUUGAGUGAAGUACAAUAAACGUCAUAACACUCCAUCAUUUUGGCCAUCAUUCGGACGGGGUCCGGUACAGCAGGCUUGUGCUAAUAUAGUGGAUAAAAACAAGAAGACAAUAUAAGUUAUAACUGUAAUUAAACUAAACUAUACCUGUUCUAUCUCCAUGCAGCAUAUAUUCGCAGUUUCUGACAUUAUAGCGCAUCCUGACUGAAUCCUGACACUGGAGAAUCAGCUCUUGAAGCUCCGCCCUCUUAGGCCGAGCGCAGCAGCUCAUUUGCAUUUAAAGGGCACACGCUGAAACGGUGCGUAUUUGCUCACCCCCAGAAAGUGGCAAUAGGUUGUUUGCAAUCACGUGGUUCUGGUGACGCGCAAAAUACCGGUGGAGGGCAAGCAGUGAACCUAGCAGGGGACAUCAGAGACUUAUUUUACAUCUUGUUCAAUGGGGCAUAAUAGGUGCACUUUAAAGGAUUAGUUCACUUUCAAAUAAAAAUUAGCCCACAAUUUACUGUGCCAUCUGUGUCGCCCAGUCCCAUCUGCUCUCCAUUGGCCUCAUCUCCAUCAGUCACCCCCCUGGUGUCAUCAGCCAAAACUCCACCAUGGCUCCUCCCUCCAUCGACUCCUCACGUGGGCUUUCAUCCUGGCUGCACUAUGGAUUUUCACCUGGCUCCACCUACCAUCAUCGCCACCCUGGUUUCUUCUGCCGGAGCCUCUUCCUUCAUCAUCCCCUCAUCCACCUCCAGAGCCCCCACCCAACUUUCCUCCUUGGACUUUACUGCAGGAGGGGUAGUUAUGUCACAAUUAUGCUUAGCUUAAUCUGUUUUGGUUUUGUUUUCAAGGACUUUUAGUUUGCUUAUCUUUGUUUCCUGUUUCCUUAUUCUUAUGUUCCCGUUUGUCAUUUGUUUCCAUGGUUAUUCAUUACAUGACUAAUUAGCGCACACCUGUUUGUAUUUGAGUCUGUUAUCUUUUGUAUAUUUUGCCCUCUGUUUGUUCAGUUCAUUGUCUGGUAUUGUUUGUGCUUAUGUAACCCCUCUGGUCAGGUUUACAUGCAGUCGUUACACCUCCGCAUGCUUAAAUAAACCUAACUGCUAUUUUUGAACCCCAGGCUUAUCUUCAUCACCUUUGGACUUGAUGUGACAGACGUCAGUUAACUUCCUCCUUUCUGAAAAGCAGUGUAUAUGUACUUCCUUUUUACCUUCACACCAGAAACGUCUGUGGAAAAUGCAAGAACUCGAGCUUGAAAUAAUGUCUCUGUAAAUUUUCUGUCUCUGACGUAGAAGAUAUAUUUAGCUGAGCUGUCUUUGUUCAAAUCAAGAUAGCAUUUCAUUCUGCUUUGGGUUUGUUCUCUCCAGUGAUCCAUCUAUAUAAUCUCUCUUUAUAGAUUCAUAAUUUACUUAUUCUUAUAAGUGGUUGUGGUGUAUUGAUUUUGAGAGUGUUGUUUGUGAUCUGUGAUGUUUCAUCUGACUCACAGAACAUGUUUAUCCAUUAACAGCCUCUUCUGUAUUAUCAGCUCAAGGAAGACAUGA